GAUAGCCUCCACAAUUACCCACUGAUAAUUCCAAUUCAGGUAUUCCCACCCUCUCUUGUGGUUCCAGAGUUAGUUUCUGUGGCACUAGAAACACAAUAUGUCAUUAGACAUUAGGUCUCUCUGUCUCUCAUGUGCACUCAUUCUGGGGACAGCCAGUUGCCACGUAAUGAGCAGUCCUAUGGAGAGACCCACGUGACAGCAGUCAUGCGAGUGAUACUGGAAGUGAAGCCCGCAGCUCCAGUCAAGCCUUCAGAAGACUGCAGCCCUGGCUGACAGCUUGAUGGCAACCUCCUGAGAGACCCUCAGCUCGAACAACCCAGCUAAGCUCUGCCUGGAUUCUUGGUCCUCAAAAACUGUUAUAAAAGACAUUGUGGCUACCAUCUCUCAUCACUCACUCAAAGGGAAGCCAACCAGCACGCAAUGAGAAUCUCAGGUGAUGAGGGCCUGAGGCCUGUCGCCAAUCACGUGAAUACGCUUUUGGGAGCAGAUUCUCUAGCCCCAGUCAAGCCUCAGAAGACUUCAGCCCUAGGUGACAGCUGGAUGAUAAUCCCAUGAGUCAGAACCACCCAACUAAGCCACUCCUGGAUUCCUGACCCUAGAAACUGUGUGAGCUGGAAUUCUGUGAAGUACAUGACCUCAAGUCUUUUGGAUAAAUGGAAACACAGCUUAUUUUGGAAAGAUGGAAGACUGGCUGUACUAAUAUCAGCAGUGGAAGAGGAGGGACAUCACUAGAGAUCCCAUGGAUACUGAAAGGAUCAGAAAGGAGUAUUAUGAACAUUGUU